ensembl:lncRNA
GGGGUCAGAGGGCACUGAGUUGGGGGUCAGAGAGCACUGAGAUGGGGGUCAGAGGGGCACUGAGAUGGGGGUCAGAGGGCUCUGAGAGGGUCAGAGGGGCACUGAGAUGGGGGUCAGAGGAGCACUGAGAUGGGGGUCAGAGGGGCACUGAGAGGGUUAGUGGGGCACUGAGAUGGGGGUCAGAGGGCACUGAGAUGGGGGUCAGAGGGCACUGAGUUGGAGGUCAGAGAGGCACUGAGAUGGGGGUCAGAGGGCACUGCGAUGGUCUGAGGGGCACUGAGAUGGGGGUCAGAGGGCACUGAGAUGGGGGUCAGAGGAGCACUGAGAUGGGGGUCAGAGGGCACUGAGAGGGUCAGAGGGCACUGAGAUGGGGGUCAGAGGGCACUGAGAUGGGGGUCAGAGGGGCACUGAGAGGGUCAGAGGGGCACUGAGAUGGGGGUCAGAGGGGCACUGAGAUGGGGGUCAGAGGGCACUGAGAUAGGGGUCUGAGGGGCACUGAGAUGGGGGUCAGAGGGCACUGAGAUGGGGGUCAGAGGGGCACUGAGAUGGGGGUCAGGGGGCACUGAGAUGGGGGUCAGAGGGGCACUGAGAGGGUCAGAGGGGCACUGAGAUGGGGGUCAGAGGGCACUGAGAUGGGGGUCAGAGGGGCACUAAGAGGGUCAGAGGGCACUGAGAUGGGGGUCAGAGAGCACUGAGAGGGUCAGAGGAGCACUGAGAUGGGGGUCAGAGGGCACUGAGAUGGGGGUCAGAGGGCACUGCGAUGGUCAGAGGGGCACUGAGAUGGGGGUCAGAGGGCACUGAGAGGGUCAGAGGGGCACUGAGAUGGGGGUCUGAGGGCACUGAGAUGGGGGUCAGAGGGGCUCUGACAUGGGGGUCAGAGGGCACUGAGAUGGGGGUCAGAGGGGCACUGAGAUGGGGGUCAGAGGGCACUGAGAUGGGGGUCAGAGGGGCACUGAGAUGGGGGUCAGAGGGCACUGAGAUGGGGGUCAGAGGGGCACUGAGAUGGGGGUCUGAGGGGCACUGAGAUGGGGGUCAGAGAGGCACUGAGAUGGGGGUCUGAGGGGCACUGAGAUGGGGGUCAGAGGGGCACUGAGAUGAGCGUCAGACGGGCACUGAG